CAUUCAACGGAGAGUUUGAUUCUGGCUCAGGACGAACGCUGGCGGCGUGCUUAACACAUGCAAGUCGAACGAGGUGCUUGCACCUAGUGGCGAACGGGU
rnacentral:rRNA from 1 species